GCGAAAGUGGGGCCGGGGGGCGCGGGAAGAGGUGGGGGGGAAGGGGUGUCCGGAUUGAUGGGGCGUAAAUAGCGGAUAGGCGGGCAGGGAGGGCCGUUGUGAAAACGCGAGGCUCAACCGCGAGGCGGCGAUGGAGACCAUUUGGCGAGAGGCCGGAAGAGGAGAGUGGAAUUCCUGGUGGAGCGGUGAAAUGCGCAGAUAUCAGGAAGAACACCCGUGGCUAAGGCGGCUCUCUAGUACGGUACUGACGCUGAGACGCGAAAGCGUGGGGAGCGAACAGGAUUAGAUACCCGAGUAGUC
rnacentral:rRNA from 1 species